UCGGAUCGCAGGCUGCAACCCGCCUGCGUGAAGUUGGAAUCGCUAGUAAUCGCGGAUCAGCAUGCCGCGGUGAAUACGUUCCCGGGCCUUGUACACACCGCCCGUCACACCAUGAGAGUCGGGAACACCCGAAGUCCGUAGUCUAACCGCAAGGGGGACGCGGCCGAAGGUGGGUUCGAUAAUUGGGGUGAAGUCGUAACAAGGUAUC
rnacentral:rRNA from 1 species